GGAGGUUGAGUUCAGGGGGAAAUCACCAGCAGUCCGAACACAUUAGCUUUUACAUCUCCGAGACGCUGAUCUAAUUUGCGCUUACGAAAGGAAAUGAAGGAGAAUUGCAUUAGCACCGAUUCUUCUGCCAGGAGUGAUUCACGCUGUUUUAGUCAACGUGGACGUCUUCUGGCGGGUCUAUGCUGUGUCAUCCGCGAGCAGUCCACAGUGAGGAUGUGAUAAGUUACUAAUGAGCAGCGUGAACGAGUGGGAUUGACAAUGGUAUUGAUAAUGAAAUAGUAGAUAACAGUAAUGAAGAGCAAAAUAAAAAAAAACACAUUCCAGGAUAAACAGAGGAAGGCGUUUCCAGCGGGUGGGAAGCCACAACUGCAAAGACUCGGUCACCUUUGGUGCCAGAAGGAGUAAAUGUUUUGGUGGUCUGGUGUCAAAAGAAAUGAUGAGACAUAAACAGUUAAUCACAUUAUGUUGGACUACAGUUGGAUGAAGAUAUCGUUUGGUCUCUCUUUACAGUCCGCUGAAACUGAGGGUAUAAAAUAACUAAAUAACUGACGGCUUAUUUAACCAUUUUAACUUUUCUUUUUCAUUCCAAUGACUGUAGGACUGGCUCAUAUUAAGUUUUAUCCUGCACUCAACAAAAAAGAAAUGAACACAACAGUCUGCAUCAAUCUUUUGAGGUUAGGGGAAUUAGCUUUUCCUCUACAAUCAAAGGUAUUUUUAAUUACCCCUUACUUAAUAAUUGGUAGCACAAUCAAACAGUUUUGAGUUAAGCUUCUAUAAAACUUACCACAUUUCCACAUUGUGUCAACAUAACUUCUUGACCUGAAUCAGUAAAUUACAAGUUUUAUCUUACAACCAUGCAUUAAUUUAAGUGACAAUAGGUUUUAUAGCUUUUAUCUUGUGUUGUAACUCAUUUUAUUGCUCUGUUUGGAUAUUAAAUUACUACUAAAUUAAGGAUAAAUCUUAUGGCAAUAAUAUUGGUGAUAUUAUUCAAGUUACAGUAAAAAAAACAAUAUCUUACAGACUAUAAAGAAAGACUGUUUAAAAUAGAAAAUGCACACAGACUGUUAAAAAAUCUGAGUUUCAAAAUGAGUUCUGUUUUGAAUAUAUUGUAUGAAUCUGGAUGUACAGUAUCUAGAAGUUGUUCAUGUUGUGACAAUGCAAGGGCGCCAUCUUGUGGCAGCAAGGCAGAGAUGUUAAAAUGUUUACUGAUUGCUGGUUGUGCAGAACUUCAAGGUGAUGUUUAGGACUCAGUUUAAGGCUUUAUCCAAAAUUAUUGUUUGUGAAAUAAAGAAUACCAUAAUACAAUC